rnacentral:lncRNA from 1 species
CUUUUUUUUAUAAGAACAGUAAAUUUUGGGAACAGAGCCUUUAUACUAACAACAGAAACUACAGUGUCAAUAUUUUUGCAGUUUCUAAAGACUGACUCAGGUUUUCAUCAAUACCCCUUGAUUGUGUUGGUUCAAUUUAUGCAACUGGUUAAAAAAUUUUUUGAAGAAGGCUCAAUCAAUACUGUUUACAAUGCUUUGUACAACUCCCUGUUUGUUUAUUUCCUUUCUAUCAUUCUCCUUAUUCAGUAAUGCUCCACUCUGUCCACUGCAUUCCCAACAAAGAACUUCACCACCUCCUUAGAUAUGCCUUCCCACUAUGAAGUUAUCAUGCCAUAGCUUUGGGGAAAGGGACCACCCCCUUAUUUCCAGUGAAGGCCCAUUCUUAUUCUCUGUGAUAGAGUGACAGUGAAAUAAAGAAGGCAGAUGAAAAAAAAAUUGUUUUUAGCAAAUUUCCCUGGGUGUUCCUUUUAAAAAGACCCCUGGGUCUGACACUAACCUCAGUAUCCAUAAUAAGCUGUCUUGCUGUAUAGCCCAGUGCCAUAACUUAAAACUAGAUGACUAGAAUAUUUCCCUCUUUUCCGUUUCAACUAUGAUGCUUCUCCAUUAACUCAGGAAAUUGAAAACUUAGCUGUAUUGCACUAAAAUAAUCUACCUCUGGAGUUCAGAGGGAAAUUUCAAAUGAAAUUUAUAUAACAAUAUUCCCAAUAUGUCACCUUUAUCUGUUUUUAGUUAUAUUUUAUAAGAAAUAGUCUUGAAUCAAAUAUAAACCAUCAUUUUAAAAUUACCAUGACAGCUAUAGAAUUGCAUUUCAUGGGAUGCUGAAAUGAGUGUGAUAAAGAGUUUUACUCUUAACAGCAAUUGACCCAGUGACAAAAGACCUCAAGCUCAGGUUUAACAGUCAUUUAUUAUUUAUCUAUAGAAUUAUUUUAAGAAAUUUUCUUCCUUUUAAGGUCAUGCUUUUGGAGAUAUACUUCAAGGUAAAAUGUACUAGAAAAAGUAUUUUUUGCAAAGUUGAAGACUAAACCGAAUUUUGUUUUAAGGGAUUAGAAAAAUAAAGCAGUGGUAGAAGUAGGAGUUUUGAGAAUACAAGUCAUCAUAGAGAGUUAAGUGUAAUUGUUUUGUGAAAGUAGUAGAAUGAAUUUCCUAACUUGUCCAUUUCCAUGUUUUCUUAUAGCACUAAGAAAACCUAUUUACCUAUGCAAAAGGAUUGUAAUAAAUUAUUAAAAAUGUAAAUGCUUAACUAAAGAGUGAAUUAAUA